GAUUCCAUGGUGCAGUGGUUAGCACGGUCGCCUCCGACGCGACAGACUCGGGUCCAAUCCCCGAUGGAGACA